rnacentral:rRNA from 1 species
GUGGAUUAGAUACCCUGGUAGUCCACGCCCUAAACGAUGUCUACUAGUUGUUGGUGGAGUAAAAUCCAUGAGUAACGCAGCUAACGCGUGAAGUAGACCGCCUGGAGAGUACGGUCGCAAGAUUAAAACUCAAAUGAAUUGACGGGGGCCCGCACAAGCGGUGGAUUAUGUGGAUUAAUUCGAUGCAACGCGAAAAACCUUACCUGGCCUUGACAUGUACCGAAUUUAGCAGAGAUGCUUUAGUGCUCGAAAGAGAACGGUAACACAGGUGCUGCACGGUCGUCGCCAGCU